UACGUAGGAGACGAGCGUUGUCCGGAGUUACUGGGCGUAAAGGGUGCGCAGGCGGCCUGGCGCGUCGCGAGUGAAAUCUCCCGGCUCAACUGGGAGGGUGGUCGCGAGACGGCGAGGCUUGAGGCUCGGUGAGGGGCGUGGAAUUCCGGGUGGAGCGGUGAAAUGCGUAGAGAUCCGGAGGAACACCAACGGCGUAGGCAGCGCCCUAGACGAGACCUGACGCUCAGGCACGAAAGCGCGGGGAGCGAACAGG
rnacentral:rRNA from 1 species